UGGCACUCGGCGUGCCGGCGAUGCUCGCCGUCCUGCCGAGGUGGCGGGCGGUCGCGCUGGCCGGGGUGGCCGCGAUCGUCGCCGGGCCUGCCGC
rnacentral:tRNA from 1 species